GCUUGCGGCCGGCGCACAGGUGCUGCAUGGCUGUCGUCAGCUCGUGCUGUGAAGUGUUGGGUUAAGGUCCCGCAACGAGCGCAACCCCUGCUGCCUGUUGCCACCACGAGAGGUGGGACUCAGGCGGGACCGCCGGUGACAAACCGGAGGAAGGUGGGGACGACGUCAAGUCAUCAUGGCCCUUAUGUCCUGGGCUACACACGUGCUACAAUGGCCGGUACAGAGCGCAGCGAGGCCGCGAGGCGGAGCGAAUACGCUUAAAGCCGGUCCCAGUACGGAUUGGAGUCUGCAACCCGACUCCAUGAAGUUGGAAUCGCUAGUAAUCGCGCAUCAGCAUGGCGCGGUGAAUACGUUCCCGGGCCUU
rnacentral:rRNA from 1 species